AUUGAACGCUGGCGGCAGGCCUAACACAUGCAAGUCGAGCGAGCGGCGGACGGGUGAGUAAUGUCUGGGGAACUGCCUGAUAGAGGGGGAUAACUACUGGAAACGGUAGCUAAUACCGCAUACUAUCGGAUGAACCCAUAUGGGAUUAGCUAGUAGGUGGGGUAAAGGCUCCCCUAGGCGACGAUCCCUAGCUGGUGUGAGAGGAUGAUCAGCAACAAUGGAACUGAGACACGGUCCAGACUCCUACGGGAGGCAGCAGUGGGGAAUAUUGCACAAUGGGCGCAAGCCUGAUGCAGCCAUGCCGCGUGUAUGAAGAAGGCCUUCGGGUUGUAAAGUACUUUCAGCGGGGAGGCGUUACCCGCAGAAGAAGCACCGGCUAACUCCGUGCCAGCAGCCGCGGUAAUUC
rnacentral:rRNA from 1 species